AAGCACGGGAAGACUCGUGAAGAUUUUUCAACAUGUUGAAAAAUGUCCACGAGAGCCUCGAGUCCCGACAAGAGGCCAUUACCGUAAAUCUCCGAGUUCGAAUCGGGGCAAACGCGGGAGAGCGCUUGGAAUAAACUCGCACCGUGGGCCAGGGCGAUAGACACAAAAUGCUGGAGUAACUCAGCGGGAC